rnacentral:misc_RNA from 1 species
GUGUGUCCCGGCACGUGAGCGCCGAGAAGAGAUGUUGAUUGCGGUCUCAACAGAUAUGUCGGUAGAAGAUUCCGGUGGGUUGAGGUGCCGCGUGAGGAUCCAGUCGUCGUCGCCAAAGCAGCCCAUCGUUUUACCGAGAGAAGAGGGAGAUAUGGGGGAUAUUAAAGUAACAGGAAUUGGAUGGUCGUUUUAAGACUGGGCUUUAUCCUUUUACCAUUAUAUUUUGCCCAUAGGGAUUAUUCAUUAUUGAUAUCAUUUCGAACUUCGCCUUCGUGAUGGUGUUUGUGGCUGUGGCUAUGUUAAUAUCAAGUGGGAAGGAGCAUCCCAGUAUGCCCUUGAGGCUAUGAAAUUAUUAGGUAUGUGUUGCCAGGGGAAAGUUGUAGCUUAUGGGUUUUGAUUUUUUUUUUCUUUUCCUCUUGAGAGAGUUGAGACUUAGAUGGCUCUACAAACUUAAGUGAUAUGCUUUUUAGCCGCUUAAUUUGGUUUAUUCAGGGAUUAAAAG